GGCUUCGUGGUGUAAUGGUCAGCACACUGAGCCGGUAUUUCAGAGGUCCGCGGUUCGAUUCCCGGCGAAGGCG
rfam:Stegodyphus mimosarum contig39974, whole genome shotgun sequence.